rnacentral:tRNA from 1 species
GCCCAGCUAGCUCAGUCGGUAGAGCAUGGAACGCUUAAUCCCAGGGUUGUGGGUUCGAGCCCCAUGUUGGACG